GUGACAGUAACUCAGUUGGUAGAGUCCCAGACUGUGAUUCUGGUUUGCGCGAGUUCGAAUCUCGUCUGUCACCCC
rnacentral:tRNA from 1 species